rnacentral:RNase_P_RNA from 1 species
AAGGCCGUGCGUGAGGAAAGUCCGGGCUUCACAGGGCAGGAUAGCUGCUAACGGCAGCCGUGGGCGACCAUAGGGAAAGUGCAACAGAGAGAUACCGCCGCCCCGUACGGGACGGUAAGGGUGGAAAGGCGAGGUAAGAGCUCACCGGCGCACAGGAGACUGUGCGGCCCUGCAAACCCUAUCCGAAGCAACACCCGGCAGAAACAAUGCGGCGGCCCGUCGCGUUUCGAUGAGGUGGCUUGAGCCGUAUGGCGACAUACGGAUUAGAUAGAUUGUUGUCAACUACAGAACUCGGCUUAUUGUUUG